AAUUCCUUGACAGCAUACCAAUCAGUGCUUCCGGUGGACUAAAUGCGAAAAUAUCAGACUCCAGUAUCUCUUUUACAGUAGGACUAGGUGUUGACUCGCAGUCUCGUCCAGACAUUGUUUCUCGACGCUGCAGUGCAAACAUUGGAUCAUUCAGUUUAGAAUUUAAAGACUCUAAUCUAAUGAAUCUCAUCAAAGGCUUGUUUCAGAAUAAUCUCAAGAGCAAACUAAUGGAAGAGAUCUGUCCGUUUUUAGAAAAGGAAAUCAAUGGACAUGUAAAUGCGAAGGUAAAGGCAAUGCCGUUAACAGCCGAAUUUGCUAACACUUUUGUGAUAGACUAUAGGCUCGUUGCACCACUAACUAUAGCUUCUAGCUACCUGGAGAGUUCCCACAAGGUAUGAAUUGUUUGAGUAA
rnacentral:sRNA from 1 species